UGGUUCCUUUACAGCUGACGAAAUCCCUCACUUCUGGGAAAAGGAGUAUAACCUGGAAUAUUAAGGGAGACAUGGAGCAAACAAGAGGAGACAGGCUGAGGAGACAAGGAUGAAACACAAGGAGAGGAACAAAGGAACAGGAACCAGAACCGAUGGACUGGACUGCUUACGGUGAACAACCAGUUCCUGGCCGUGCCGCUGGACCAUUUGUCUCCUCCAUGGAUGACGACAUCACCCCAAUGGAGAUAGACUAAAAGGUUCAGCAUACCAAAAGUGAAAGAAGAGGAUGACAAUCAUAACAUUUCUACUUGGGCAAUUACAGUUCCUGCAGAUAAUGAAAUGUGAGGCAAUGUUUGAACAUGACUAUCUCAAAAACUAUUACAGAUAAAUGCCUGAUGAACAACUUUUUACUGGUUCAUUGUCAUAAAAAAAACCUGGAUUUCAAAUUUGGUCUGGAUACAUCAAAAAGUUAUGAAAUUUAAGCAGCCUAUUUCAGUACACACUAAUAAAAAAUACAUUGGAACAAUUAGAAGAAGACAGUGACAAUUUCUGAAUUAUAUGUAGUUGAAUUUACUGCAAAAUAAAGCAAAUAUCUGAAAAAAUAAUCACUGGGGAAACAUGCAUAUAUUUUACAUCACAUCUAAAAUUGUUAUAACAAUGCGUGAAAAAAAAUGGUGUGAAAGUGGGUCAACUGACCUUUUUAUUAAAAGAAAUGUUUUGAUCAAAUUUAUCAGUAAUCAUUAUAAAUGUAAUUGCUGUAGAUUUUGAAAAAAAGUUUUAAAGCGGGUUGACGGACCUUUUUUCACAAGAAUAUAUCUUGAAAAGUACUUGAUAUAUGAAACUAAAAUUACAUAGUACAUAUUACAUACAUAUAAAAUUACAUAGUACAUAUUACAUAUUUUGUACAAAUUUUAAAGACAUUACACAGUGUAAAGACAUUACACAGAUUUGGGACCAAUCAGGAAAAAUAAUCUCUAACCCAGCUCAAAUUAAUUAUGUUUUUUAUGCUAUUUUAUAAACCCCUUUAUAAAUCUGAAUCACAGUAGUAAAACUCAAAUAAAAUACUUUUCUUUUGGGAACUUAAGCUUACCAAGGGUAUAGGCCAAUGGUAAUAAGAAAUUAGAUGAUCCAAUAUAUAUGUCCAAA